rnacentral:misc_RNA from 1 species
GUAUGGUAUCAAUCCCAUAUCAUCUUGUGAUUCUAAUCCAUGUGAAAAUGGUGAUGAUGGGUAUAGAAAGCCACCUCACAUGUGCACUCACAUGCUCUUAGCUAUUAGAGGGUCCUCAAUCACCCACAUAAAAACAAAAAAUAAAACUAACACAACUGAAAUGAUGAGAGUGAGAGAUGAAGAAUGCAAUAAACACCAUACACUCAGCUAUCUUUUUCCUGUAUUAGUCUAAACCCAUAUUCUCACUCUCGUGACUCUGUGUUUUG